AGGGCACGCGGGGAAUGCCUUGGCGCCAGAUGCCGAAGAAAGACGCAGCCAGCUGCGAAAAGCCGCGGGGAGGAGCAAGCAUCCCUUGAUCCGCGGAUAUCUGAAUGGGGAAACCUGCAUGGAGCAGUCCAUGCGCCCUUUAAUAGGGCGGCGACCCGGUGAAGUGAAACAUCUCAGUAACCGGAGGAAAAGAAAUCGAAAGAGAUGCCCCGAGUAGUGGUGAGCGAAAGGGGUACAGCCCAAACCGGAUGCAUGCCAAGCCUGCAGGCGUUGUGCAUUUGGGGUAGAGGGAUCCAUGAGCGAAGAUCUGCAGAUUUUCGGAGGAGUUACAAAAUAUUUUCAUAGUUGAACCGUGUUGGAAAAGCGGGCCGCAGAGGGUGAAAGCCCCGUAGACGAAAUGGAAAUAUCUUCUUUGAUGGACACCCAAGUAGUGCGGAGCACGUGCAAUUCCGUAUGAAUCAGGGCCGACCACGGUCUAAGGCUAAAUACAUCUGGCGACCGAUAGAGAAGCAGUACCGAGAGGGAAAGGUGAAAAGCACCCCUGGCGGGGAGUGAAACAGACCUGAAACCGCGUGCUUACAAGCAGUCGGAGCAUUUUUAUAAUGUGACGGCGUGCCUCUUGGAAAAUGAGCCGUCGAGUUAUGGUAUGUGGCGAGGAUAAGAACUACGAGGUUCGGAUCCGUAGGGAAACCGAGUCUGAACAGGGCGCAAGUCGCAUGCUAUAGACCCGAAGCCAUACGAUCUAUCCAUGUCCAGGUUGAAGACCGGGUAACACCGGUUGGAGGACCGAACCACAGCCUGUUGAAAAAGGCCUGGAUGAGGUGUGGAUAGGAGUGAAAAGCUAAUCGAGUAUGGUGAUAGCUGGUUCUCCCCGAAAUGCAUUGAGGUGCAGCCUUGUUUGGAAUAUUUAUGGGGGGUAGAGCACUGAAUGAGUAAGGGGGCAGAUGUGCCUACCGAGCUCAAUCAAACUCCGAAUACCCAUACAAUACAAACGGGAGUGAGACUACGGGUGCGAAGAUCCGUGGUCGAAAGGGAAACAGCCCAGCCCGACAGCUAAGGUCCCAAAGCCUGUGCUAAGUGUUACAAGGAUGUGGGGAAGCAAAGACAGCCAGGAGGUUGGCUCAGAAGCAGCCAUCCUUGAAAGAGUGCGUAACAGCUCACUGGUCGAGCGUCCCUGCGCCAAAAAUGUGGGGGGCUAAGCACAGCGCCGAAGCUUCGGAUUUAGUGGAAAUAUCCAUUAACUGGUAGGGGAGCGUUCCAUAUGGGACGAAGCAGGAUUGUAAGGUUCUGUGGACUUUAUGGAAGUGAGAAUGACGGCAUGAGUAGCGAAAAGUGUGCGAGAAACACACUCACCGAAAACCCAAGGAUUCCUGGGGAAGGCUCAUCCGCCCAGGGUUAGGCGGGACCUAAGGCGAGGCCGAAAGGCGUAGUCGAUGGACAACAGGUAGACAAUCCUGUCCUCCGUACGAUCGUUUGACCGAAGGAGUGACGCAGAAAGCUAUGUGCGCCGGGUGACGGAAGUCCCGGUCCAAGGAAGUAGGCUGACAGAGGAGGCAAAUCCCCUUUGUCUAAAGGCCGAGAUCUGAAGGGGUAGUGAGUUAUCACGGGAAGGCACAAAUGCUAUGCUGCCGAGAAAAGCUUCUAGGGAGAGAGUACGGACCCGUACUGAAAACCGACACAGGUGGGUUGGCUUAGAAGGCUAAGGUGAACGGGAUAACCCUUGUUAAGGAACUCUGCAAGUUGACUCCGUAACUUCGGGAGAAGGAGUGGCUGGAGAUGUCAAUACUAUACGUAAGAAGCAUCUUUGGUUCGCAGAAACCAGGCUCAGGCGACUGUUUAACUAAAACACAGGACUCUGCUGAAGGCGUAAGCCGAAGUAUAGGGUCUGACACCUGCCCGGUGCUGGAAGGUUAAAGGGAGAGGUUAGUCGCAAGGCGAAGCUUUGAACUGAAGCCCCAGUAAACGGCGGCCGUAACUAUAACGGUCCUAAGGUAGCGAAAUUCCUUGUCGGGUAAGUUCCGACCUGCACGAAAGGUGUAACGAUCUGAGCGCUGUCUCAACAGGGGGCCCGGUGAAAUUGUGGUACUGGUAAAGACGCCAGUUACCCGCAGUAGGACGGAAAGACCCCGUGGAGCUUUACUGUAACUUGAUAUUGGAUUUCGGUACACUCUGUAUAGGAUAGGUGGGAGACAGAGAAGGAAGUGCGCCAGCGCAUCCGGAGUCGUCCUUGGAAUACCA
rnacentral:rRNA from 1 species